AAGUCGUAACAAGGUUUCCGUAGGUGAACCUGCGGAAGGAUCAUUACAGUACACUGUAACUAGUAGUUCGGGCCCUGAGAAGGUGCCUAAUACUUCCAAAUCCCUUGCCGAAUAAUUUUACCGGUUACCCUGGAGCGGGCUUGCCUGCUGGCGGUUACUACCACUAAACUCAUUAUAAAUAACGCUGUAACUACUGCAGAAUUGUACAUAGAAAAUAUAUCAAAUAUUAAAA
rnacentral:misc_RNA from 1 species